rnacentral:lncRNA from 1 species
CACAAUGUUCUUCAGCAUCAUUGCUAAGUACAACAAAUGUCCAAAGUGCUACAGUUUAUAUCGAACCUAAGCAGAUGGCUUGACUGAAACAGCAGACAAAUUUUCCAGAAGACAGAAUAAAAACCCCUAACAGCAGCCAUUGACAUUCAAAUGCUUUGGAAUAAGGAUGAGAACUUACCAGUGAUGCGAAGGAUUGAAUGUACUCGAGAAGCAGAUUAGUGGCUUCGGUAUAACGACCAUAGUCAAUAUAUAGUCGAAGCAAAGAAGCAGGAUUUGAUUCACUUCCUGCCAUUCCCCAACCACUUUUUGCUGGCACACCAUAUGUCAAACAUAGAAUGAUAAAAAUAAAUAUCACAUCCUCGACUUGACAUUGAAGAAAUCUAGAAGAUAAGCAACACAUAUUACAUCAAAUUACUACGCAAAUAAAAGUCAAUUCCAAAUCCUGCUGCUAAGAAUGCAUCAAAAAGCAAUAGUAACUGCAAAAUUUUCUGUCACACAAACUAACAACAGCGAGCUGACAACAUAGCAAACUUGGUCAUGAUCGAAAACAAGAUGCCUUAUUAAGUGCCUUCUGCUUCCAAAAGGACUUGCUUACCUCCUUUUACUAAGUAAUUGUAAUAGGAUAUAACUGAAUAAAUUUUAUAAGAGCCUUUCUAUAUUAACAGCUUCCCCAACUGCUUGGAUCCAUUAUACGCCAUAGUGAUACUUCCACCACCUCAUAUUCCCAAUCUUGCAAGUGUUGAAAGUGCUUUCUGAAUGGAACAUGUUAAAAAUUUCAUGGUCCUUUACUCAUAUUCCCACUCGCGGAAGUGUUUCUGAAUGACACAUUCAAUGAAAUUUGAUCUCUCUUUGAAGUACUUCAUGUGCCGCUAUAUUUUUUCAUGAAAAUAGAAAACAGAUGAGGAAAGUCAUUUUUCAAGGUGGCCUCCUCACAUCAAACAUCAAGCCGAAACUGUACAUGUUUUAAUGUUCCUUAUUGAGAAGCCAAUGAACCUUGAGGAGUUAAUCGUGAUUCUUCAUGAUCCUCUUUUACAAACUCAUCCCAUACAUAGCAUCCAUACUUUACACUAACAUCUUCCUUAAUUAGUUUUUCUCCCAUGCAAAUCCUGAUACCUCCUUUUGGAAAAGCUCAAUAAUAGGUCUAAACCUUUGUAUAACCAACUGUCUAGUUUGACCAGAGCAGUGAUCUUUCCCAACUAAUCAGAUGUUUUUUCCCUCUAUCCAUCCCAUCCCAAAGAAAUCCCUCAUUAAUUUCUCUAGCUUAUUAGUGAAAAAAUAAUAGCAAUGGUGGUUGGCCGUUUUCUUGUUUUUGUGCCAGCUGAUGAUAUGCUGGGGCCACCCCCGAAGAGGAGAGGAUUUCGUGAUAUUUCUGAUAGGCUGUCUUGUAUUUCUAAUAAGUUGUUUAACAGUCGGCAUGUGGAAUCAUAAACAUAAUGAUGGAGGGAGGUCUACGGCCAUCUGCUCAAUCCAUUAGUUAUGAAAUAACAUUAGCUCUGUGUGUGUUAUCAAUAUAUAUAUGUGUGAUUCGGUGAUACCUAAAAUUUCUCCAAAUUCUUUUCUUUCAAGAAACAAAGGUAAAAGGAUUUGAUUGGCCCUGACCAAGGAAUCCCUCAUAUAUGAAACAAAACGACUUUUGUUCUCUCCUUGAUCAAAGAUUUCUCUAUGAAAAAUAUGAAACAGAGUUUGAAAAGGNNNNNNNNNNNNNNNNNNNNNNNNNNNNNNNNNNNNNNNNNNNNNNNNNNNNNNNNNNNNNNNNNNNNNNNNNNNNNNNNNNNNNNNGGGGGGGGGGGGGGGGUGGGGGGAGAGAGAGAUUAUAAAUAUGGUCAUAAAGUAAGCGCGAAUGCUCAAGAGUGGUGGCCUUAACCAGAGCCCCUCUCCUUGAACUUUUAGUAGAUCAGCUACCAAAUUCUUGUAAUCUACUUUGUAAAUAUGGUGCCUAGCUUUUCCUUAAUGCUGAUGAAUAUACUGUUACCAUUCUCCAAAAGAACUUCUAAUUCCUAGAAUUUAUCACAAAGAGAAAAUCCAAAAUAUUUUGCAAGGUCAAUAAUUUUACAUCCUCCAGAUGAUAGGGCUGAAGUAUACAUCAACAAAGAAAAGAACGGAAUAAGCAUAUCACACUUUAUGUAGAGACUAGAGUCUAGACGGUAUGAGCAACUCUUGUCUGAAAUAUUCUUUGUUUUAUCUUGAUAAAUAAUCUUGUGUAAUUAACUAGACUGUAUGAGCAACUCUUCUGAAAUAUUUUUUGUUUUAUCUUGAUAAAUAAUCUUGUGUAAUUCUUUUCCAUAACACUGCUAUACAGCCUUGAAUAUUUGGGCUUAGGCCCUCAAAUUAUUAAAUAAUGAUGUACUUACCUUGAACAUCUGAACCAACCAAAGAGGCAACUCAAUUUGAGGAUCAGCAGCAAGAAGAGUAUCAGCAACAACAGCAGGCAAUUUAGCAUGAAAUUUUUUGUAUUUUUCCUGCAUUGAUGUUUUGGACAUAAAAUUGAAACAACAGUGUAUUUGCUUUAAACAGAUAAAAUUAGUUAUGA